GAUGAACGCUAGCGGGAGGCCUAAUACAUGCAAGUCGAACGGUAAGGCUCCUUCGGGAGUACACGAGUGGCGAACGGGUGCGUAACGCGUACGAAACAUGCCUUUAUCAGGAGGAUAGCCCUGGGAAACUGGGAAUAAUACUCCAUAGUAUUAUAUGGUUGCAUAAUUAUAUAAUUAAAGUUCCGGCGGAUAAAGAUUGUCGUGCGUCCCAUUAGCUAGUUGGUGAGGUAACGGCUCACCAAGGCGACGAUGGGUAGCUGGUUUGAGAGGAUGAUCAGCCACACUGGUACUGAGACACGGACCAGACUCCUACGGGAGGCAGCAGUAGGGAAUAUUGGACAAUGGACGCAAGUCUGAUCCAGCCAUCCCGCGUGCAGGAUUAAGGCCCUCUGGGUUGUAAACUGCUUUUAUUAGAGAAGAAAACGGUUCAUUUAUGAGCUUUUGACGGUAUCUAAAGAAUAAGCACCGGCUAACUCCG
rnacentral:rRNA from 1 species